ACGCUCGACACCUACGGGGGGCAGCAGUGGGGAAUAUUGCACAAUGGGGGAAACCCUGAUGCAGCAACGCCGCGUGAAGGAAGACGGUUUUCGGAUUGUAAACUUCUGUUCUUAGUGAAGAUAGUGACGGUAGCUAAGGAGCAAGCCACGGCUAACUACGUGUCAGCAGCCGCGGUAAUCUGAGCGGGCUGGCAAGGC
rnacentral:rRNA from 1 species